rnacentral:rRNA from 1 species
AGAGUUUGAUCCUGGCUCAGGAUGAACGCUGGCGGCGUGCUUAACACAUGCAAGUCGAACGGGAAUUACUUUAUUGAAACUUCGGUCGAUUUAAUUUAAUUCUAGUGGCGGACGGGUGAGUAACGCGUGGGUAACCUGCCUUAUACAGGGGGAUAACAGUCAGAAAUGACUGCUAAUACCGCAUAAGCGCACAGGACCGCAUGGUCCGGUGUGAAAAACUCCGGUGGUAUAAGAUGGACCCGCGUUGGAUUAGCUUGUUGGUGGGGUAACGGCCCACCAAGGCGACGAUCCAUAGCCGGCCUGAGAGGGUGAACGGCCACAUUGGGACUGAGACACGGCCCAGACUCCUACGGGAGGCAGCAGUGGGGAAUAUUGCACAAUGGGGGAAACCCUGAUGCAGCGACGCCGCGUGGAGGAAGAAGGUCUUCGGAUUGUAAACUCCUGUUGUUGGGGAAGAUAAUGACGGUACCCAACAAGGAAGUGACGGCUAACUACGUGCCAGCAGCCGCGGUAAAACGUAGGUCACAAGCGUUGUCCGGAAUUACUGGGUGUAAAGGGAGCGCAGGCGGGAAGACAAGUUGGAAGUGAAAUCUAUGGGCUCAACCCAUAAACUGCUUUCAAAACUGUUUUUCUUGAGUAGUGCAGAGGUAGGCGGAAUUCCCGGUGUAGCGGUGGAAUGCGUAGAUAUCGGGAGGAACACCAGUGGCGAAGGCGGCCUACUGGGCACCAACUGACGCUGAGGCUCGAAAGUGUGGGUAGCAAACAGGAUUAGAUACCCUGGUAGUCCACACCGUAAACGAUGAUUACUAGGUGUUGGAGGAUUGACCCCUUCAGUGCCGCAGUUAACACAAUAAGUAAUCCACCUGGGGAGUACGACCGCAAGGUUGAAACUCAAAGGAAUUGACGGGGGCCCGCACAAGCAGUGGAGUAUGUGGUUUAAUUCGACGCAACGCGAAGAACCUUACCAAGUCUUGACAUCCCUUGACAGACAUAGAAAUAUGUAAUCUCUUCGGAGCAAGGAGACAGGUGGUGCAUGGUUGUCGUCAGCUCGUGUCGUGAGAUGUUGGGUUAAGUCCCGCAACGAGCGCAACCCUU